CCCGCACGACGGGCUAUUAGCUCAGUGGUAGAGCGCGCCCCUGAUAA
rnacentral:tRNA from 1 species